UACGUAGGGUGCAAGCGUUGCCCGGAUUCAUUGGGCGUAAAGCGCGCGCAGGCGGCCUUCCAAGUCCCGCGUGAAAUCGCCCGGCUCAACCGGGCGGGGUCGCGGGAGACUGGGGGGCUCGAGCGAGGGAGGGGGCAGUGGAAUUCCCGGUGUAGCGGUGAAAUGCGUAGAGAUCAGCAGGAAUACCCGUGGCGAAGGCGGCCCCCUGGGCCGAACCUGACGCUGAGGCGCGAAGGCUAGGGGAGCGAACGGG
rnacentral:rRNA from 1 species